CAGGCAGUGGCGGCGUGCUAUACAUGCAAGUCGAGCGGACAGAUGGGAGCUUGCUCCCUGAUGUUAGCGGCGGACGGGUGAGUAACACGUGGGUAACCUGCCUGUAAGACUGGGAUAACUCCGGGAAACCGGGGCUAAUACCGGAUGCUUGUUUGAACCGCAUGGUUCAAACAUAAAAGGUGGCUUCGGCUACCACUUACAGAUGGACCCGCGGCGCAUUAGCUAGUUGGUGAGGUAAUGGCUCACCAAGGCAACGAUGCGUAGCCGACCUGAGAGGGUGAUCGGCCACACUGGGACUGAGACACGGCCCAGACUCCUACGGGAGGCAGCAGUAGGGAAUCUUCCGCAAUGGACGAAAGUCUGACGGAGCAACGCCGCGUGAGUGAUGAAGGUUUUCGGAUCGUAAAGCUCUGUUGUUAGGGAAGAACAAGUACCGUUCGAAUAGGGCGGUACCUUGACGGUACCUAACCAGAAAGCCACGGCUAACUACGUGCCAGCAGCCGCGGUAAUACGUAGGUGGCAAGCGUUGUCCGGAAUUAUUGGGCGUAAAGGGCUCGCAGGCGGUUUCUUAAGUCUGAUGUGAAAGCCCCCGGCUCAACCGGGGAGGGUCAUUGGAAACUGGGGAACUUGAGUGCAGAAGAGGAGAGUGGAAUUCCACGUGUAGCGGUGAAAUGCGUAGAGAUGUGGAGGAACACCAGUGGCGAAGGCGACUCUCUGGUCUGUAACUGACGCUGAGGAGCGAAAGCGUGGGGAGCGAACAGGAUUAGAUACCCUGGUAGUCCACGCCGUAAACGAUGAGUGCUAAGUGUUAGGGGGUUUCCGCCCCUUAGUGCUGCAGCUAACGCAUUAAGCACUCCGCCUGGGGAGUACGGUCGCAAGACUGAAACUCAAAGGAAUUGACGGGGGCCCGCACAAGCGGUGAGCAUGUGGUUUAAUUCGAAGCAACGCGAAGAACCUUACCAGGUCUUGACAUCCUCUGACAAUCCUAGAGAUAGGACGUCCCCUUCGGGGGCAGAGUGACAGGUGGUGCAUGGUUGUCGUCAGCUCGUGUCGUGAGAUGUUGGGUUAAGUCCCGCAACGAGCGCAACCCUUGAUCUUAGUUGCCAGCAUUCAGUUGGGCACUCUAAGGUGACUGCCGGUGACAAACCGGAGGAAGGUGGGGAUGACGUCAAAUCAUCAUGCCCCUUAUGACCUGGGCUACACACGUGCUACAAUGGACAGAACAAAGGGCAGCGAAACCGCGAGGUUAAGCCAAUCCCACAAAUCUGUUCUCAGUUCGGAUCGCAGUCUGCAACUCGACUGCGUGAAGCUGGAAUCGCUAGUAAUCGCGGAUCAGCAUGCCGCGGUGAAUACGUUCCCGGGCCUUGUACACACCGCCCGUCACACCACGAGAGUUUGUAACACCCGAAGUCGGUGAGGUAACCUUUUAGGAGCCAGCCGCCGAAGGUGACAGAAAUCGC
rnacentral:rRNA from 1 species